UCCAGACUCCUACGGGAGGCAGCAGUGGGGGAUAUUGCACAAUGGGGGGAACCCUGAUGCAGCGACGCCGCGUGGGUGAAGGAGCGUUUCGGCGCGUAAAGCCCUCUCGGCAGGGAAGAAGGAGGACGGUACCUGACUAAGAAGCCCCGGCUAACUACGUGCCAGCAGCCGCGGUAAUACGUAGGGGGCAAGCGUUAUCCGGAUUUACUGGGUGUAAAGGGGGCGCAGACGGCAGCGCAAGCCAGGAGGGAAAGCCCGGGGCCCAACCCCGGGACUGCUCUUGGAACUGCGCGGCUGGAGUGCAGGAGGGGCAGGCGGAAUUCCUGGUGUAGCGGUGAAAUGCGUAGAUAUCAGGAGGAACACCGGUGGCGAAGGCGGCCUGCUGGACUGCGACUGACGUUGAGGCCCGAAAGCGUGGGGAGCAAACAGGAUUAGAUCCCCCUGUA
rnacentral:rRNA from 1 species